rfam:Bacteroides fragilis NCTC 9343, complete genome
UCAGGUGACUAUAGCAUCAGGGUUCCACCUCUUCCCAUUCCGAACAGAGAAGUUAAGCCUGAUCACGCCGAUGGUACUGCGUAACAGUGGGAGAGUAGGUAGUCGCCAUUU